rnacentral:lncRNA from 1 species
UUUGAGCUGGUUUAAAGUUGAAAAUAGAGUUUAAGGAUAUUUUGAGCCAAUUGAGACCGAAAAGUGAAUCUCAAUAGUAGUUCGAGCUACUAGUAGCGUGAGAAUAAUGUAUAAAACAUUUUGCGGUUAUAUAAGUUUAUUUAUGAAACUUGUGAUUUGAAAUAGUGAUUUGAAUUUGAUAAUAUAUAAGUUGUAAAAGUAAUGCGAGAAUCUAUUCUCUGAUGCAAUGUAUUUAUGUGUAAAUAGAUUAAAGAUAAUUAUUUACCGACAUGGGCGUGUUCUGGUUUUAACGACUCCGAUCUAGCGGAGAAGAAAUGGUGUUGGAUGUUUGAUCGGUUUUUCCUUGUGUAGUUGAUGAGAAGUUGAUGCGGCUGUGAAUUAUUAACU